UUUUCGGGCGUUAGCUCAGUAAAACUGCGUAGUUUCUGAAGUUAAGGUGUACGCACUUGAGUAGAAAUGGGAAGAAAGAAAAAGUGUUUUGCACCAGGGUGCAUGUCUUCCAGUGACCACACUGGAAUGAAAUUCUUCCAUUUUACCAGGAAUUCAGCACGGUAUGAGCCAGAUCUGAAAUAUUUUUAUAAAACAUACUGUAAUAUUUUGGCCAGUGUUAUUAAAGAAGCUAAAAAUCUUCAUUAUAAUCAAUCAAUUUCUAAUUCUAGUAAUAAAAUGAAAACCACUUGGACAUUAUAAAAUCAGACACAGGUAGAAAAAUUAAUAAUGCAGGUAUACAGUUUUUAAACAUUGAUGGGAAGUUAACUGAUAAUCAUGAUGUUAUUACAGAUUCUCUUAAUAAUUAUUUUCGAACAAUAGCUGGACAACAUCAAUACCAAUAAUGUUCAUCGACAUUUUCUAUGAUUUGAAGAAAACCUUUGACUGUGUCAAUAUCUGUCUAUCUCUCUGUCUAAAGUAGAAUUUUAUGGAAUAGUUGGUAAGGCCAAUGCAUUGAUAAAAUCCUAUGUGAAAGAUAGGUACUAAAGGGUAAGUCUAUUUUACUCAUUAGAGGAAUAAUUUAACUCUAAUAUUAAUUAAUGAUCUUGGUCUGUUAUAUGCUGGAUGCCUAGUAGUAUACUUUUAUGUUUCAUUAUUAUAGUCUUGUGUCAUAGUGUGCUGCAUUCUUUCACAUAUAUAUUUUAAAACUGUGUUAAUGAUUUACUUACUGUGAUUUGUCUUUGAUAAUAUGUGUAAUUGUUAUGGGUUAAAUAUAAAAAUUUGUAUUUAUA